rnacentral:rRNA from 1 species
CAGCAGCCGCGGUAAUACGUAGGUGGCAAGCGUUGUCCGGAAUUAUUGGGCGUAAAGGGCUCGCAGGCGGUUUCUUAAGUCUGAUGUGAAAGCCCCCGGCUCAACCGGGGAGGGUCAUUGGAAACUGGGAAACUUGAGUGCAGAAGAGGAGAGUGGAAUUCCACGUGUAGCGGUGAAAUGCGUGGAGAUGUGGAGGAACACCAGUGGCGAAGGCGACUCUCUGGUCUGUAACUGACGCUGAGGAGCGAAAGCGUGGGGAGCGAACAAGAUUAGAUACCCCCGUAGUCCCUGUCUCUUAUAC